CAGUAGCCGCGGGAAUACGAAGGGGGCUAGCGUUGUUCGGAUUUACUGGGCGUAAAGCGCACGUAGGCGGACUUUUAAGUCAGGGGUGAAAUCCCGGGGCUCAACCCCGGAACUGCCUUUGAUACUGGAAGUCUUGAGUAUGGUAGAGGUGAGUGGAAUUCCGAGUGUAGAGGUGAAAUUCGUAGAUAUUCGGAGGAACACCAGUGGCGAAGGCGGCUCACUGGACCAUUACUAACGCUGAGGCUCGAAAGCGUGGGGAGCAAACAGGAUUAGAGACCCCCGUAGUCCCUGUCUCUUAUAC
rnacentral:rRNA from 1 species